rnacentral:rRNA from 1 species
UACGUAGGUGGCAAGCGUUAUCCGGAAUUAUUGGGCGUAAAGAGCGCGCAGGUGGUUGAUUAAGUCUGAUGUGAAAGCCCACGGCUUAACCGUGGAGGGUCAUUGGAAACUGGUCGACUUGAGUGCAGAAGAGGGAAGUGGAAUUCCAUGUGUAGCGGUGAAAUGCGUAGAGAUAUGGAGGAACACCAGUGGCGAAGGCGGCUUCCUGGUCUGUAACUGACACUGAGGCGCGAAAGCGUGGGGAUCAAACAGGAUUAGAUACCCU